rnacentral:sRNA from 1 species
GCCUGGCAUGGUGGUGCAUGCCUGUAAUCCCAGUGGCUCAGGAGGCUGAGGCAGGAGAAUCACAAAUUCAAAGCUAGCCUCAGCAAAAGUGAGGUGCUAAGCAAUCAGUGAGACCCUGUCUUUA